UGACUGCGUACCUUUUGUAUAAUGGGUCAGCGACUUAUAUUCUGUAGCAAGGUUAACCGAAUAGGGGAGCCGAAGGGAAACCGAGUCUUAACUGGGCGUUAAGUUGCAGGGUAUAGACCCGAAACCCGGUGAUCUAGCCAUGGGCAGGUUGAAGGUUGGGUAACACUAACUGGAGGACCGAACCGACUAAUGUUGAAAAAUUAGCGGAUGACUUGUGGCUGGGGGUGAAAGGCCAAUCAAACCGGGAGAUAGCUGGUUCUCCCCGAAAGCUAUUUAGGUAGCGCCUCGUGAAUUCAUCUCCGGGGGUAGAGCACUGUUUCGGCAAGGGGGUCAUCCCGACUUACCAACCCGAUGCAAACUGCGAAUACCGGAGAAUGUUAUCACGGGAGACACACGGCGGGUGCUAACGUCCGUCGUGAAGAGGGAAACAACCCAGACCGCCAGCUAAGGUCCCAAAGUCAUGGUUAAGUGGGAAACGAUGUGGGAAGGCCCAGACAGCCAGGAUGUUGGCUUAGAAGCAGCCAUCAUUUAAAGAAAGCGUAAUAGCUCACUGGUCGAGUCGGCCUGCGCGGAAGAUGUAACGGGGCUAAACCAUGCACCGAAGCUGCGG
rnacentral:rRNA from 1 species